ACAUAUGUGGUAGUACAUCACUAUUCGCUACGGGAAGGGGCCUGUCACGGGACAAACUGCUCUCUGUUAUUCGCUGGGAAAAUGGGAAGUAUGUACAAGGUGCCGGGGCAACAAGGGUUGACACUAUGUACAAGGAGGCAACACCACACAGCCAUUUUUCUUCUUUUUAUUGCAGCUCAUGUUGAGUUGACUCUGCAGUCAGGUCGUUAUACCUCAACCCCGAUCCUCUCUGCCACCUGCGAUACAAACAGACAUCCAGGUAUAAGCAAACGCAAGAAUCCGAAAAUGAUGUUGAUACAGAACAGUUGCAGGGGAACCCAGGGUCAAUUUAUAUGCAAUGAAAUCGUUCCUGAAUCUUGACGUACAACAAAAAAAAGAGAGCUGCCGGAUCUUGAAUUACUGUAUAAUUAACUAAGCUUUGUGGCUUGAGCUUGUGCUACCUAAAUGUUAAGAUUCUGUGCAUGGACUUCACAAGAAGUGUUGAGCAGAAGAGAAAUAUAGGUACCUCC
rnacentral:lncRNA from 1 species